UGUUCUUUAAGGAAAAAGAGGUAGCCAGUCAGUAAACUACCAAUGUAUCUUCCUAAGUGCAAUUGUUAGAGAGUAUGACUUGAUGUGGUUAAAUGAGGAAACCCUGACAGAUGGCUGCAGGAGGGUAGCUAACUCUUCUUUACAACGCCAUACCAUUGAACAUACACAUUUCUGAGGAAUGUACCUCAGUCCUGAAAUUUUUGGAAAUAGGUACUCCAUAUCCUUCUGAAAACACUCGAAUGCUUUUGCACACGUGUAUUCCGUAUUUCGAAUGGUGACAAUAGAGUGGAUUUGAAAUGCAUAACUUAGUGUUUGUGUGAACUUGAUAUAUUUUCAUUAAUAAAACCUACUUUUUUAACAUGGAA